AGUGAACGCUGGCGGUAGGCCUAACACAUGCAAGUCGAACGGCAGCACAGUAAGAGCUUGCUCUUACGGGUGGCGAGUGGCGGACGGGUGAGGAAUACAUCGGAAUCUACUUUUUCGUGGGGGAUAACGUAGGGAAACUUACGCUAAUACCGCAUACGACCUACGGGUGAAAGCAGGGGAUCUUCGGACCUUGCGCGAUUGAAUGAGCCGAUGUCGGAUUAGCUAGUUGGCGGGGUAAAGGCCCACCAAGGCGACGAUCCGUAGCUGGUCCGAGAGGAUGAUAAGCCACACUGGAACUGAGACACGGUCCAGACUCCUACGGGAGGCAGCAGUGGGGAAUAUUGGACAAUGGGCGCAAGCCUGAUCCAGCCAUACCGCGUGGGUGAAGAAGGCCUUCGGGUUGUAAAGCCCUUUUGUUGGGAAAGAAAAGCAGCAGGUUAAUACCCCGCUGUUCUGACGGUACCCAAAGAAUAAGCACCGGCUAACUUCGUG
rnacentral:rRNA from 1 species